rnacentral:rRNA from 1 species
UACGUAGGUGGCAAGCGUUGUCCGGAUUUACUGGGCGUAAAGAGCGCGCAGGCGGUCGUUCAAGUCGCGUGUGAAAGCCCCCGGCUCAACUGGGGAGGGUCACGCGAUACUGAUCGACUCGAAGGCAGGAGAGGGUAGUGGAAUUCCCGGUGUAGUGGUGAAAUGCGUAGAUAUCGGGAGGAACACCAAUGGCGAAGGCAGCUCGCUGGGACGGUACUGACGCUAAGGCGGCGAAAA